AUACUCAGUGGUGGCCAUAGAGAGUUGGUGACUGCCUUUGAGAGGAGAAUGGUUGUGAUCCUUUUGCCGAGAACUCACCCAGAGGACUUAUACCUUGGUGACAGCAGAAGGACUCAAAUUAGAAAACUGAGGCCCAGAGAAGGAAAGUAGCUGCCAGAGGUCACACAGCUAGGAUUGAGGGAUCAGAGGGUCCUGGGUCUCCAGCUGCCCCAGUUGAACAGGGGGCUGUCCCCUGCGGCUCUCAAGGCGUUCCGGGGCUGUGAGUCAUCGGGAAUGUCUGUUCUGACUGCGGCUUCCCUCUCCUGACGUGGACCCUCUUUCUCCUCCUCCCCCACACUCAGGGAGAGGGUGCCCCUCCCAGGCAGGGGGCUCUGAAGUGGGGGAGGAAGCCACAGGCAGGCCUGGGAUGAGGUCUUGCUCCCCGAUUGCCAUCGGAAGGAGGCUUCGAAGACUUGCACGCCCCUCACCCAGAUUCUACCUUCCCAAGGCAGAUAGAAUUCCCUGACUUUCUCCCAUUUCCCAGAGUUCCUCCUCCCCCACAAGCUGGCACAUGUGGAUAUUGGCUCUGUUUUGCCUUUGACCCCUAGUGAAAGAAAAUACUGAGGACCACAGGUCAUCCUCAAGCCUUCCUCCCAGGCUAUCCUUGUCCCUGAAUACUAAUGUCUAAAGGUCAGCCCAGCUACCAGCAGUGUGCAUGUGAUGUGUCCCAUCUCCCCUUCGGAUUGGAGGAAGAAGCUGUGUCCCUCCCAUCAGACAGACGGUCUCCUUAAAGAUUCUCCUGGUCUCCAGCUUGGGCUCUGCUGGAAAGAAGAGGAAGUAUUUAGCAAGGGUGAAGAUGGGUUCUUACUUCCCUGAGGCAACCAGAGAUAAGAAAAGACCAGAAUAUGAAUAUCCAGCAUUCCACAAAGAAUCCUACAGGCAGGGAUAUUGCCCAAUCACCAGUGCCUCGCAUCCCAGUUCUAUCCAAGAUCCAAGCUUGAUAUCCUCCUGAAAGACUUCCUGAAUCAGGUCACCAACAUGGACAUCUGAACUUCCAGAAUCAGGUCACCGUCUUUCUUCUCAUCUCUGGAUGUAUUUGGAGCUCAUUUGUCUGACGGUUUUUGAAUGCUAUCUUUUAAAAAUAAACUUUUACAAUUUGGG
rnacentral:lncRNA from 1 species